rnacentral:tRNA from 1 species
GGGGUUGUAGCUCAGUGGUAGAGCACUCGCCUCACACGUGUGGGACCUUGGAUUCGAUCCUCAGCACCA